UCCCGUCUUGAAACACGGACCAAGGAGUCUAACAUCUACGCGAGUGUUCGGGUGGCAAACCCGUGCGCGCAGUGAAAGCGAACGGAGGUGGGAGCCCCCCCGAGGGGCGCACCAUCGACCGAUCCUGAUGUCUUCGGAUGGAUUUGAGUAGGAGCGUAGCUGUGGGGACCCGAAAGAUGGUGAACUAUGCCUGAAUAGGGCGAAGCCAGAGGAAACUCUGGUGGAGGCUCGCAGCGGUUCUGACGUGCAAAUCGAUCGUCAAAUUUGGGUAUAGGGGCGAAAGACUAAUCGAACGAUAUGGUAGCUGGUUCCUGCCGAAGUUUCCCUCAGGAUAGCAGUAACGCGCAAUCAGUUUUAUGAGGUAAUUGUGAAAAAUUAGAGGCCUUGGGGUUGAAACAACCUUUUCUCCCUUUUUACUUUAAAUAUGUAAGAAGCCCCUUGGCCCAGCGAACCCUGGGCCCUACCCGUCUUAAACCCGAAUCCAGGGGGC
rnacentral:rRNA from 1 species